rnacentral:rRNA from 1 species
UACGGAAGGCAGCAGUGGGGAAUAUUGCACAAUGGGCGCAAGCCUGAUGCAGCCAUGCCGCGUGUAUGAAGAAGGCCUUCGGGUUGUAAAGUACUUUCAGUCGUGAGGAAGGUGUUAAGGUUAAUAACCUUAGCAAUUGACGUUAGCGACAGAAGAAGCACCGGCUAACUCCGUGCCAGCAGCCGCGGUAAUCGGAGGGUGCGAGCGUUAAUCGGAAUUACUGGGCGUUAAAGGGCACGCAGGCGGUUAAUUAAGUUGGAUGUGAAAUCCCCGGGCUUAACCUGGGAAUGGCAUUCAAGACUGGUUAGCUAGAGUCUUGUAGAGGGGGUAGAAUUCCGAUGUGUAGCGGUGAAAUGCGUAGAGAUGUGGAGGAAUACCGGUGGCGAAGGCGGCCCCUGGGACAAAGGACUGACGCUCAUGUGCGAAAGCGUGGGGAGCAAACGAGGAUUAGAUACC